GACAGAGGGGGCAAGCGUUGCUCGGAAUUACUGGGCGUAAAGGGCGCGUAGGCGGGAUGGCAAGUCGGUCGUGAAAUCCCUCGGCUCAACUGAGGAUCGUCGAUCGAUACUGCCGUUCUUGAGGAUUGCAGAGGAGACUGGAAUUCCCGGUGUAGCGGUGAAAUGUGUAGAGAUCGGGAGGAACACCGGUGGCGAAGGCGGGUCUCUGGGCAAUUCCUGACGCUGAGGCACGAAAGCCAGGGGAGC
rnacentral:rRNA from 1 species